UCGUUAUCUUGAUUAUCCAAAGUUGUAAUGAUUCGGCAUAUCAUUCGGUAUCGAAGUUUUGUAAUUUUUUUUUUCAGUUUUUCGCUUCAUUUUCAUUUCAUAGGUGAUGUGUGGUUUGUUAACAACAACGAAGAGCUUUCGGCAAGUCCAAGAGCACGGUAUGAAGUUCCUACUUUCUGAAUACUACGUAGGAACUCUAUACCUCGCUGCUGGAUCUCUACCAUAUUCACAAGACAAUUUGUUUCUUAUUCGAUUUUUUCCAGUUUUUUUUUUUUUUUGAUUUUUGACUUUUGUAAUAAAAUCGAUUAUCAUCACCACUCCGGCUACUCCAGUUCGUCUUCUUCUUUUUUCCCCUUAUUUGCAACGCGGAAUAUUACCGAGCAGGGAGAUUACCGUUCGCCGCAUCUUUCAGUCUUAUAUAUACGUACCUGGUUGAGUUUUUUUCCAAAUUUUACCGCUGGACCGACCGACGGGAGGAGACAGCGCUGGUUGAGCGAGAGUCUGUAAAGAAAGAGAAAGGAAAAACGAUGUUAGUAAAAUUUUUUGGAAAAUCGAAAAACAACGGGAAAAAUCGCGAGCAGGUACGAUCGUUGAGCUCUUAUUUUUUCGACGCUCGUUCCAGAAAAAUUUCAACGCCUAAAAUCUAUUUGUCGAGCGGUUGUCU
rnacentral:misc_RNA from 1 species